rnacentral:rRNA from 1 species
UACGUAGGGGGCAAGCGUUGUCCGGAAUUAUUGGGCGUAAAGGGCGCGUAGGCGGAUAUUUAAGUCCGAUGUGAAAGAUCAGGGCUCAACCCUGAGAGUGCAUCGGAAACUGGGUAUCUUGAGGACAGGAGAGGAAAGUGGAAUUCCACGUGUAGCGGUGAAAUGCGUAGAUAUGUGGAGGAACACCAGUGGCGAAGGCGACUUUCUGGACUGUAACUGACGCUGAGGCGCGAAAGCGUGGGGAGCAAACAGG